rnacentral:rRNA from 1 species
GCCAGCCGCUCAGAACUUAAUGAAUUGACGGGGCCGCACGAAGCGGUGGAGUAUGUGGUUUAAUUCGAUGCAACGCGAAGAACCUUACCUGGUCUUGACAUCCCGGAGACCCUUAGGAAACUAGGGGGUGCUUCCAUCUGGAAGAAUCUGGAGACAGGUGCUGCAUGGCUGUCGUCAGCUCGUGUCGUGAGAUGUUGGGUUAAGUCCCGCAACGAGCGCAACCCUUGCCUUUAGUUGCCAGCAGUUCGGCUGGGCACUCUAAAGGGACUGCCGGUGUUAAACCGGAGGAAGGUGGGGAUGACGUCAAGUCCUCAUGGCCUUUAUGACCAGGGCUACACACGUACUACAAUGGCCGAUACAAAGGGCAGCGACACUGCGAGGUGAAGCCAAUCCCGUAAAAUCGGUCUCAGUCCGGAUUGGAGUCUGCAACUCGACUCCAUGAAGUUGGAAUCGCUAGUAAUCGUGGAUCAGCAUGCCACGGUGAAUACGUUCCCGGGCCUU